rnacentral:rRNA from 1 species
UACGGAGGGUGCAAGCGUUAUCCGGAUUUACUGGGUUUAAAGGGUGCGUAGGCGGGUUGUUAAGUCAGUGGUGAAAGAUUCGAGCUUAACUCGGAAACUGCCAUUGAUACUGAUGAUCUUGAAUACAGUUGAGGUAGGCGGAAUGUGUCAUGUAGCGGUGAAAUGCUUAGAUAUGACACAGAACACCGAUUGCGAAGGCAGCUUGCUAAACUGUUAUUGACGCUGAGGCACGAAAGCGUGGGGAUCAAACAGG